UGGGGAAUAUUGGGCAAUGGGCGAAAGCCUGACCCAGCCACGCCGCGUGAGUGAUGAAGGCCUUCGGGUCGUAAAGCUCUGUGGGGAGGGACGAACAAGCCUUGGGCUAAUCACCAGGGCUCUGACGGUACCUCCUUAGCAAGCACCGGCUAACCCUGUGCCAGCAGCCGCGGUAAUACAGGGGGUGCAAACGUUGCUCGGAAUUAUUGGGCGUAAAGCGCGCGUAGGCGGCUACUUAAGUCGGAUGUGAAAGCCCCUGGCUCAACUGGGGAAGUGCACCCGAAACUGAGUAGCUAGAGUACGAAAGAGGGUCGCGGAAUUCCCGGUGUAGAGGUGAAAUUCGUAGAUAUCGGGAGGAACACCGGUGGCGAAGGCGGCGACCUGGGUCGAUACUGACGCUGAGGCGCGAAAGCGUGGGGAGCAAACA
rnacentral:rRNA from 1 species